rnacentral:rRNA from 1 species
GAAACGACUGCUAAGACUGGAUAGGAAGCGGGGAGGCCUCUCGCCGCUUUUAAAAGACCUAGUUUCUAGGUAUGCUUAAGGAGGGGCUUGUGCCAUAUUAGUUAGUUGGUAGGGUAACGGCCUCCCAAGACGAUGAUGUGUAGCUGGACUGAGAGGUUGAACGGCCACAUUGGGACUGAGAUACGGCCCAAACUCCUACGGGAGGCAGCAGUAGGGAAUUUUCGGCAAUGGAGGCAACUCUGACCGAGCAACGCCGCGUGAACGAUGAAGUACUUCGGUAUGUAAAGUUCUUUUAUUAAGGAAGAAAACAGCCCGGCGAACCGGGCUUUUGACGGUACUUAAGGAAUCAGCCCCGGCUAAUUAUGUGCCAGCAGCCGCGGUAAUACAUAAGGGGCGAGUGUUAUCCGGAAUUAUUGGGCGUAAAGGGUGCGUAGGCGGUGAAGUUAGUCAAUGGUGUAAUGGCAGCGCUUAACGGUGUCCGGCUAUUGAAACUGCUUCACUCGAGUGAGAUAGAGGCGAGUGGAAUUUCCAUGUGUAGCGGUAAAAUGUGUAAAUAUAUGGAGGAACACCAGAGGCGUAGGCGGCUCGCUGAGUCUUGACUGACGCUGAGGCACGAAAGCGUGGGGAGCAAACAGGAUUAGAUACCCUGGUAGUCCACGCCGUAAACGAUGAGUACUAAGUGUCGGGUUCCCCCGGUACUGAAGUUAACACAUUAAGUACUCCGCCUGAGUAGUACGUACGCAAGUAUGAAACUUAAAGGAAUUGACGGGACUCCGCACAAGCGGUGGAUCAUGUUGUUUAAUUCGAAGAUACGCGAAAAACCUUACCAGGCCUUGACAUGUUCGUGCAAUGCAGUAGUAAUAUUGCGGAGGUUAUCACGAUCACAGGUGGUGCAUGGUUGUCGUCAGCUCGUGUCGUGAGAUGUUAGGUUAAGUCCUAAAACGAGCGAAACCCUUGUCAUUAGUUGCCAGCAUGUUAAGAUGGGGACUCUAAUGAGACUGCCAGUGACAAACUGGAGGAAGGUGGGGAUUACGUCAAAUCAGCAUGCCCCUUAUGGCCUGGGCUACAAACGUGAUACAAUGGCUGUGACAAAGAGUAGCUGAAACGCGAGUUUUUAGUCAAUCUCAAAAACGCAGUCUCAGUUCGGAUUGAAGUCUGCAACUCGACUUCAUGAAGUUGGAAUCGCUAGUAAUCGCGAAUCAGCAUGUCGCGGUGAAUACGUUCGCGGGGUUUGUACACACCGCCCGUCA